UACGUAGGGUGCAAGCGUUAAUCGGAAUUACUGGGCGUAAAGCGUGCGCAGGCGGUGAUGUAAGACAGAUGUGAAAGCCCCGGGCUCAACCUGGGAAUGGCAUUGGAAACUGGCUUGCUGGAGUGUGGCAGAGGGGGGUGGAAUUCCGCGUGUAGCAGUGAAAUGCGUAGAGAUGUGGAGGAAUACCGAUGGCGAAGGCAGCCUCCUGGGCCAACACUGACGCUCAUGCACGAAAGCGUGGGGAGCAAACAGG
rnacentral:rRNA from 1 species